rnacentral:rRNA from 1 species
CCUACGGGUGACAGCAGUGGGGGAUAUUGCACAAUGGGGGGAACCCUGAUGCAGCGACGCCGCGUGGGUGAAGGAGUGCUUCGGCAUGUAAAGCCCUAUCGGUAGGGAAGAAGCAAGCCGGUACUAGCCUAUGAAGCCCCGGCUAAAUACGUGCCAGCAGCGGCGGUAAUACGUGGGGGGCGAGCGUUCUCCGGAUGCACUGGGUGUAAAGGGAGCGUAGACGGAAAAGAAAGCCAGAGGUGAAUCCCCGUGGCCUAACCACAGAACUGCACUUGGAACUGCAUGGCUGGAGUGCGGGAGGGGCAGGCGGAAUUCCUGGUGUAGCGGUAAAAUGCGUAGAGAUCAAGAGGAACACCCGCGGCGAAGGCGGCCUGCUAGACCACAACUGACGUUGAUGCGCGAAAGCGUGGGGAGCGAACAGGAUUAGAUACCCCGGUAGUC